AAUUCUGGUAGUUUAAAGCUUGUAAUUUGGAUCUUUCUUGUGUAAAGACUGGAUUUUUAUUUAAGAUUUUAAGUUGGUAUUUGAUGAAGCUGAAAGCUUUUGUACUCUGUAGUGAAACAGGUUUUGGUUGAUAUUUCACUCGCUGUAAUUCACUAGCGUUGAGUUUUGUCUUGGGUUGAAUGGGAUAAAGUUGAAGCUAUUUUUGGAUGUUUUGAGUACAAGAAUUUUCUUUAUUUGUGCUGUGGAUUUAGCUUUUCUUAGGUCCUUUUUUAUUUGUGGUGGCUUCAAAUUAAGUAGAAUAAGGAUUGAAGCUGCAGAAAUGAGGCUUUCUUCUGCUGGUUCCAAUCAGCAGUCUCCUGAAGGUAAAGUUGUCAUUUUCAAUCUUUAAGAGAAUGUUGCAAUAUCAUUUUUCUGCCGCUAUUGCUUUCUUCCAUCUAUUUUUCCGGUUUAUACAGUGUUGAUAUCAUUUUUCUGUCCUUUGUUGUUGAUAUUUGCUUGUUUCUAUUCUUACUCGAGCCGAGAGUCUCUCGAAAAUAGCUUAUCUGCCUCCCUAGGCCAGGUGUAGAUCUGUCUGCACACUGACCUCCCCAGAUCCCAUUUGUGGGAUUUCACUGAUUUUUUGUUGUUGUUGUUGUAAGAGAAUGUUGCAAUAUGUGUUACUUCCUUUAGAAACUUAGCUGAUCUUCUUCUUUAAGUUGCAUAUAAGAACUUGUCUGUUUAAGCAUAAUUGAGAUGUCAUAAAUCUAUCUCCUUUUCUCUUUUAUUCUUGCUUUAAUUUUCUUUCACAUGUCCUUUCCUCUAUUUAUUUUAAUUCUAAUGUUUCUUUAUAUUCAUUUCUUUUAUCUACAAGUUGCUUUCAGUUUGAGAUCAGUCUACAGAAUUGCUGUACAGAUGUUCACCCUUGCUCUUUCAACUUUAUAUUGAUUUUUUACCAUACCUUUUUCUCUUAUGGAUCACCUGGUUCUUAUUAUCAUGAGUGAGUUUUUUGAUAGCUUUGAGCUUGGUAUGCUUAACAUCUAUGUUGCUCGGACUCUCCGUAAAUGUUGCCGGUUGCGUGUUGGAUCCUCCAAAAAUAGAUCGGACAGGGGUGCAACAUUAUUUUGGAGAGUCCGCGCAACAUAACUUAACAUCCUUUUUCCCUACCUUUCUAUAACCGGAAUCUUUUUAACUUAAGACUACAACUGCGCCUCAAUUCCGAGCAAGUUGGGGUCGGCUAUAUGGAUCAAUCUUUUGAAUAUUCUUUUUUUAAAAAUGUUUCGAAAUACUUUCUUGAUCUUCAAUCUCUCUAUAAGAGGAAAAUAAGAAUUUUGCUGAUCUAGUUCUUGAAGAAUUUAUGUUCUCAAUGUGAUUUGAAUUGCAGGGGAGAAUAAAUGUUUGAAUUC
rnacentral:lncRNA from 1 species